rnacentral:rRNA from 1 species
GUCGAACGGUAACAUAAAGAAGCUUGCUUCUUUGAUGACGAGUGCCGUACGGGUGAGUAAUGCUUGGGAAUCUAGCUUAUGGAGGGGGAUAACUACGGGAAACUGUAGCUAAUACCGCGUAGAAUCGAGAGAUGAAAGUGUGGGACCUUCGGGCCACAUGCCAUAGGAUGAGCCCAAGUGGGAUUAGGUAGUUGGUGAGGUAAAGGCUCACCAAGCCGACGAUCUCUAGCUGGUCUGAGAGGAUGACCAGCCACACUGGGACUGAGACACGGCCCAGACUCCUACGGGAGGCAGCAGUGGGGAAUAUUGCGCAAUGGGGGCAACCCUGACGCAGCCAUGCCGCGUGAAUGAAGAAGGCCUUCGGGUUGUAAAGUUCUUUCGGUAGCGAGGAAGGCAUUUAGUUUAAUAGACUAGGUGAUUGACGUUAACUACAGAAGAAGCACCGGCUAACUCCGUGCCAGCAGCCGCGGUAAUACGGAGGGAGCGAGCGUUAAUCGGAAUAACUGGGCGUAAAGGGCACGCAGGCGGUGACUUAAGUGAGGUGUGAAAGCCCCGGGCUUAACCUGGGAAUUGCAUUUCAUACUGGGUCGCUAGAGUACUUUAGGGAGGGGUAGAAUUCCACGUGUAGCGGUGAAAUGCGUAGAGAUGUGGAGGAAUACCGAAGGCGAAGGCAGCCCCUUGGGAAUGUACUGACGCUCAUGUGCGAAAGCGUGGGGAGCAAACAGGAUU